GGAGAGGUGUCCGAGUGGUCGAAGGUGCUUGACUCGAAAUCAAGUGUGGUGAUGAGCCACCGCGGGUUCGAAUCCCGCCCUCUCCGCCA
rnacentral:tRNA from 1 species